ACGCUGGCGGCAGGCCUAACACAUGCAAGUCGAGCGGUAGAGAGAAGCUUGCUUCUCUUGAGAGCGGCGGACGGGUGAGUAAUGCCUAGGAAUCUGCCUGGUAGUGGGGGAUAACGCUCGGAAACGGACGCUAAUACCGCAUACGUCCUACGGGAGAAAGCAGGGGACCUUCGGGCCUUGCGCUAUCAGAUGAGCCUAGGUCGGAUUAGCUAGUUGGUGAGGUAAUGGCUCACCAAGGCGACGAUCCGUAACUGGUCUGAGAGGAUGAUCAGUCACACUGGAACUGAGACACGGUCCAGACUCCUACGGGAGGCAGCAGUGGGGAAUAUUGGACAAUGGGCGAAAGCCUGAUCCAGCCACGCCGCGUGUGUGAAGAAGGUCUUCGGAUUGUAAAGCACUUUAAGUUGGGAGGAAGGGCAGUAAAUUAAUACUUUGCUGUUUUGACGUUACCGACAGAAUAAGCACCGGCUAACUCUGUGCCAGCAGCCGCGGUAAUACAGAGGGUGCAAGCGUUAAUCGGAAUUACUGGGCGUAAAGCGCGCGUAGGUGGUUUGUUAAGUUGGAUGUGAAAUCCCCGGGCUCAACCUGGGAACUGCAUUCAAAACUGACAAGCUAGAGUAUGGUAGAGGGUGGUGGAAUUUCCUGUGUAGCGGUGAAAUGCGUAGAUAUAGGAAGGAACACCAGUGGCGAAGGCGACCACCUGGACUGAUACUGACACUGAGGUGCGAAAGCGUGGGGAGCAAAC
rnacentral:rRNA from 1 species